rnacentral:tRNA from 1 species
GCCCUCGUAGCUCAGUGGAUAGAGCACUGCUCUCCUAAAGCCGGUGUCGUUGGUUCGAUUCCAAUCGAGGGCA